rnacentral:lncRNA from 10 species
GUUUGGUAGUUCCUGAGCUCUUGUUCUGUGUCCAAGAAGAAUAAGGAUACUCUGAUAGUUGAAGGGUGAGGAUGGGCAGAGAAGAAUUCGAGUGGACCAGCUCUCAGUGAUAAUUGCCUUAGGGAAUGUGGCUCAGGAAGUCGUAUUCAUAUUGUCACUUCCGACAUUGUUGGAAACCACUUCCCCCAGUUUGAACCAGACUUGGAUUUAAAACUUCGCCGUACUCUCUGAACAUUGGAGGUAAUACCUCAGCAAAAUAAAAUAUUUAACAUUCUGUGGUUAUGACUGUGUCUUAGGGAAUUGCUGUAUGUUAUGGCCUGCCUACCCUUAAAAGGCAAUGUCUUCAGAGCAUGUUGAAAGCCUGGAAGUAGAGCAUCAAGGUCGUUGAAAGAAUAUCAAGAAGCCUAGACCAGAGAUCAGCACACUUUUUUUUUGUUUGUGGUGACCCAUACAAUCUCUGGGAUACCUAUUCAACUCUGUUGCAGCACAAAAGCAGCAUUUAGUAAUACAUAACACAUGGCCAUCACUGAACUCCAACAAACUUUAUUUAUAAAAAUAUAUAGCCAACAGAAUAUAGCAUGAUGGCUACAGUUUGUGAAUCCUAGGUCUAGACUCCUGCCCACAGUGUGUUUGUAGUACAAUUAGGCAGGCAUGGAAGCAUGUAAAGAGAAAAAAGCAAAAGCAUAAGGAAAAAGAAACCUUCGGUAUAGAUAAUAAGAUGUGCAAAAGUU